UCAAGUUAAUAAGAGCUUUGGGUGGAUACCUAGACAUUCAGAAGCGAUGAAGGGCGUGGUUACCGACGACAA
rnacentral:rRNA from 16 species